UACAGAGGGUGCAAGCGUUGUUCGGAAUCAUUGGGCGUAAAGGGCGCGUAGGCGGCCUUGUAAGUCGGAUGUGAAAGCCCAGGGCUCAACCUUGGAAGUGCAUCCGAAACUGCGAGGCUCGAAUCUCGGAGAGGGUGGUGGAAUUCCCAGUGUAGAGGUGAAAUUCGUAGAUAUUGGGAGGAACACCGGUGGCGAAGGCGACCACCUGGACGAAGAUUGACGCUGAGGCGCGAAAGCGUGGGUAGCAAACAGG
rnacentral:rRNA from 1 species